AUACGGAGGAUCCGAGCGUUAUCCGGAUUUAUUGGGUUUAAAGGGUGCGCAGGCGGCCAUUUAAGUCAGCGGUUAAAUCGCGGGGCUCAACCCCAUUCUGCCGUUGAUACUGGGUGGCUUGAUUGCGGUCGAGGUUGGCGGAAUUCGUUGUGUAGCGGUGAAAUGCAUAGAUAUGACGAAGAACACCGAUUGCGUAGGCAGCUGACCAGAUCGCAAAUGACGCUCAUGCACGAAAGUGCGGGGAUCGAACAGGAUUAGAUACCCUGGUAGUCCGCACAGUAAACGAUGAAUACUUGUUUUCGGCGAUAUAAUGUCGGAGGCAAAGCGAAAGCGAUAAGUAUUCCACCUGGGGAGUACGCCGGCAACGGUGAAACUCAAAGGAAUUGGCGGGG
rnacentral:rRNA from 1 species